UCCCUGGUGGUCCAGCGGUUAGGACUUGCAGCUUUCACUAUAGGGGCCCAGGUUCAAUCUCUGGUCAGGGAA
rfam:TPA: Bos taurus chromosome 10, whole genome shotgun sequence.